rnacentral:rRNA from 1 species
CCGACGGUGAGGGACGAAAGCUGGGGGCACGAACCGGACUAGAUACCCGGGUAGUCCCAGCCGUAAACGAUGCUCGCUAGGUGUCUGGGAUGGUGCGACCGUUUCAGGUGCCGCAGGGAAGCCGUGAAGCGAGCCACCUGGGAAGUACGGCCGCAAGGCUGAAACUUAAAGGAAUUGGCGGGGGAGCACUACAACGGGUGGAGCCUGCGGUUUAAUUGGACUCAACGCCGGAAAACUCACCUGGGGC